rnacentral:rRNA from 1 species
UACACUCCUGCGGGAGGCAGCAGUGGGGAAUUUUGGACAAUGGGCGAAAGCCUGAUCCAGCAAUGCCGCGUGUGUGAAGAAGGCCUUCGGGUUGUAAAGCACUUUUGUCCGGAAAGAAAUCCUUGGCUCUAAUACAGUCGGGGGAUGACGGUACCGGAAGAAUAAGCACCGGCUAACUACGUGCCAGCAGCCGCGGUAAUACGUAGGGUGCGAGCGUUAAUCGGAAUUACUGGGCGUAAAGCGUGCGCAGGCGGUUUGCUAAGACCGAUGUGAAAUCCCCGGGCUCAACCUGGGAACUGCAUUGGUGACUGGCAGGCUAGAGUAUGGCAGAGGGGGGUAGAAUUCCACGUGUAGCAGUGAAAUGCGUAGAGAUGUGGAGGAAUACCGAUGGCGAAGGCAGCCCCCUGGGCCAAUACUGACGCUCAUGCACGAAAGCGUGGGGAGCGAACAGGAUUAGAAACCCUGGUAGUCCCAUGAU